rnacentral:rRNA from 1 species
GACGAACGCUGGCGGCGUGCCUAAUACAUGCAAGUAGAACGCAGUUGCGCGCGCGUGAGUAACACGUAGGUAACUGCCUGCUAGCGGGGGGUAACUAUUGGAAACGAUGGCUAAUACCGCAUACUACCAGAUGGACCUGCUGUGUAUUAGCUAGUUGGUGAGGUAACGGCUCACCAAGGCAACCAUACAUAGCCGGACUUGAUAGGGGAUUGGCCCACCUGGGACUGGGAAAAGGGCCAGGACCCCUACGGAGGGAGAAGUAGGGGAACCGUGGGCAAGGGGGGAAAGCUGAACCGGCAAAGCCGCGGUAGGGAAGAAGGUUUUCGGAAUGGAAAGCUCUGGUGUUAAGGAAGCGGUAUCUAACCAGAAAGGGACGGCUAACUACGUGCCAGCAGCCGCGGUAAUUC